rnacentral:rRNA from 1 species
AGUCUCAGUUCGGAUCGGAGUCUGCAACCCGACUCCGUGAAGCUGGAUUCGCUAGUAAUCGCAGAUCAGAAUGCUGCGGUGAAUACGUUCCCGGGUCUUGUACACACCGCCCGUCACACCAUGGGAGUUGGAAAUGCCCGAAGCCAGUGACCCAACCGUAAGGAGGGAGCUGUCGAAGGUGGAGCCGAUGACUGGGGUGAAGUCGUAACAAGGUACC